CUUAAUUAUAGAGAAGACCAGACAACUUAGUGCCCUGAAGAAGAAGAAGGAUAAUGGUUUGCAAUCAAUGCUCAUGGACAAGACACCUAAUCUGAACUUAACCAAAAAGUCAAUAUUUAACUGUACCUUAUCAGUGUGGAAAUGUCAAGCAUAGCAAGAGACAACGAACAAAUUUCCAAGUGAUUUCUCUUUUUUUUAUGUUUUGGUGUUCACAGCUAUGUGGAAGUGUUUCAACAUCAGAUAAGACAAAAUGGCCUUUGGGAGAAAAAAAAAGACAGCAAAUUACAAUACUUGCACUUGCCGAAACCACAGUUUAUGAGAGGAAAGCAGACACUGGAUAUGCAUUCUAUUCUCUCCUAGCACAUUCCCUGGUUCACCUUCCUGCCUGUGUGAUGCUAGCCCUUGAUUGUUUCCCACAGCUGGCAGCCUUUAAGAGACAGAUAUGUUGAAAUGUCUCCUUGCUGAGUAAAGUCACUAUCUGUUGCCACCCAACACAAUUGACACAAAUUAUUUGCACUCUAAAUUUCCAUGCCUAGGAGUAGAUACAUAAAGCAUGACUAGGAGGACUGUGGGUCUGCAAAACAGGAGCUCCACCUGAAUUUCCUGGAAGUUAUGGCCAGUUAAUGUAGAGAAAGAGGUUUUCAAAAUUGUAAGAACUUCAGGACCUUUGUCAGAAUUCCAUCUCGCUCCACAGGACUCCAGCUAACCUCACCCACAUAACUGGUGUUGAAAGUUUUAUUUUGUUAGAAAAUAAUGUUACACUGGAAAAACCUAUGCUGGUACUCACAUUUAAUGGGAUGUUGGACUGUCAGCAUUACAAUACAAGAAAGAAAGGUGAUGACUUAAAUGGAUAAAUAUGCAUUGUUGCUAACUGACUUUUUAAGGAAUUGUGGGUGGGCUUGACAUAACAGGGAACAUGAACAUGGAGAUCUGAAAAAUACUGAUAGAGAAAACAUCAUUUCAUCUGGGACUACAACUAGAAAGGACCUUUUUGAACUAGAUUCACAGAACAGUGAUUCAUGGAGUUCACCAAGGGUAGUGACCAACCAUUUCAAACUAUGUAUAUAGUAAAAAUAAUGUAGGUGCUUGUUAAAAAUGCAGAUUCCCAUGGACUUCCCCCUGGAGAUUCUGAUUCAGGGUGUUAAAAUAAUUCAUGCGGAGGCCAUUACACUGGGGUGGCUCCAUUGCUCUGGGUUUCUACUAAACAAACUGAAACCCAACUCAGUGUUAACAGGAAAACAACCAAUCAGAAACUGCCAACUGACCUCUAGUGGGACUUUCUACUGGAAUCAUCCAAAUAAGGCUACUGAUCCACUUUAACCAAUAAAAAAAAUG
rnacentral:lncRNA from 1 species